AACUUUCCACAUAACUCAUCCAUUUGACCAUUUUCCUAUCUAACACUGCUGUAAUAAUAUCACCAAAGCAGAGGAAGGAACAAUCUUAGUUUUUCGAUGGACCAAACAUUCACUCCGGGUUUAUCCUGACCCACCUGCAGCCUUCUGCUCACACAUUAAAUCACAAGAAAAGACAUUCAGAUCCAAAAAAGACAUUCUGCUUUAAUUCAGAUUUGAACUUAUGACUAUAAUCUUACAGAGACUGUGGAAACAGAAAAAUGACUUAUACAUGGUUUAUAUAUGGUCUGGGGAAACCUGUUGAGACCUCAAAAAAUGAGAACCAUGCUGAAGGUUCUCAAAUCUAGACAUAACCUGUCAAAAGAAAUGUAUUUACCAAACAGAGUUAAGUAGGCAGAAAAGCUUGCCCCAGCUUCUAAUGGCCGAGGCCCUAACAUAGCCAAAAUUUUAGCAGGCUGUAUAUAGUCAAGUAACUAUUCAGUAGGUGCCCGAGUAGAUUCUCUUCUUUCCUGGGGGAAAAAAAAAAACACAAACAUCAGGUUCCUGAAGUUGGCAUACCAAAAGCCUUAGCAUUUUAAAUUUUUGUUUCCUGCAUGGUUUGUCUCCUCAGUCAUCGUCCACGGGACUCUGAGAAGUCGUAGGAAUAUGCAGGCGCAGACUCGAAAGCCCAGCUUCAUCUCCAACGUUGUGGAAAGGGACUGUACCUCAUCGGGCAAUGCCCUAAGCUCCCGCUCGCCACUAGGACAGAGCCCGGGGAGAGUGACCUCCCGGGAUAUCCACGUUGGAAUGUCUGGUCAGCACCCAAACGUUUCGUCAACCUCAACAUCCGACCCCCUCCCCCCCACUGUGAAUCAUUAAUAACGUACACAUGGAACAGAAAACACACGAAAAGCACUAAGCCAGCCUCAGAGUGAACGUACCUCCAUCAACAAAGUACCUGGAAUUAUCGACCGGGUCUGCAAGAGAAGACAUUCACCAUCAUCGUCCACAGAACUCUGAGAAGUCGUAGGAAUAUGCAGGCGCAGACUCGAAAGCCCAGCUUCAUCUCCAACGUUGUGGAAAGGGACUGUACAUCAUCGGGCAAUGCCCUAAGCUCCCGCUCGCCACUAGGACAGAGCCCGGGGAGAGUGACCUCCCGGGAUAUCCACGUCGGAUAGUCAUGGUAAUGGCUUUCUUUUGACAAACUGUCCCAGGGUCCUUUUGCUAGACCUCCAGCUCGAGGAAAAAAAAAAAACCAAACAGAGUGCUGGGACUACAGACGUCAGCCACCUUUUCAGAUCUUGAAGCAAACAGAACACAACACCCCCAUCGGAACCAAACUAUCCAGAAAUUAUCUACAUGAAAAAGGGUCGUCUGAAAAAUGGCAGAUUAAUGAACAAAAAACUGCAGAAAUCCUGUUACAAGGUGAAGAGAAAGAAUAACUGGGAAGCAAAGCGAAAUGAGCAAGUUAAUACCGAACGCUGGCUGGAAGGCGGCUAACAUCCCAAAUCACAAGGCAGGAACCAAAGACCCUGUCCUCUUAAACAAAAUGAGCAUCAAAGAAAAGUGCGUAGACG
ensembl:lincRNA